CUUUGAGAUGAGAGCUCUUGGAAUGUUUAAAGAAAAGCACUAGGACUACAACCAGUUGGAAAGAAGACAGGAAAGAGUUAAAUAAAUAUAGCUGUUGUAAAUCAUUAAAGCUUAUUGCAGGAUUUUGGCUUUCAUUUGAAAGAUUUAGAGGAAUGAAAUGAAAGGCAUCUGCCUGCUGUGUUCAAAAUACAAUACAGGGUCAAGGAUACAGGAGGUAAGAAUGAAAGCAAUAUUACGGUAAGAAAUGUUGUUGUUUGGACCAGAGCAGUAGGAGAAGGAAAGAGUUUGAAUCUGGAAAGAGUUUGAAGUUAGAGUCAGCAUAAUGUCUUGACAAGCUGUAAAGGGAUCUGAGAAAGUGGAAUUGAGCUGCCAUUCAACUGAGAUGGAAAAGGUCGUGAGUGAAGUAGUUUGGAGGAGAAGCCUGCACCAAUGGCCUCCUGGGGAGUUCCCUAUGAUCCGUGGACAGAGGAAGAGAAGACUAGGGCCUGGUUUACAGAUGGUUCUGCAUGAUAUGCAGGCACCACCCAAAAGUGGACAGCUGUACCACUACAGCCCCUUUCUAAGACAUCACUGAGGGACAGUGGUGAAGGAAAAUCUUUCUGGUGAGCAGAACUUUGAGCUGUGCAUCUGGUUGUGCAUUGUGCAUGAAAAGACAAAUGGUCAGAUGUGCGAUUACAUACUGAUUCAUGGGCUGUAGCCAAUGGUAUGGCUCGAUGGUCAGGGACUUGGAAGAAGCAUGACUGGAAAAUUUUUGACAAAGAAAUUUAAAGAAGAGUUAUGUGGAUGGACCUCUCUGAGUGGUCAAAAACUGAAGAUAUUUGUAUCCCAUGUGAGUGCUCACCAAUGGGUGACCUCAGCAGAGGAGGAUUUUAAUAAGUGGAUAGGAUGACUCCUUCUGACGACACCACUCAGCCUCUUUCCCCAGCCACCUCUGUCAGCACCCAUUAGGCUCAUGAACAAAGUAGCCAUGGUGGCAGGGAUUGAGGUUACUUAUGGGCUCAGAAACAUGGACUUCCACUCACCAAGGCUGACCUGGCUAUGGCCACUAUUGAGUACCCAAUUUGCCAGCAGCAGAGACCAACACAGAGCCCUUGAUAUGGCACCAUUCCUCAGGGUGAUCAGUCAGCUACCUGGUGUCAGGUUGGUUAUGUUGGGCCUCUCGCAUCAUGGAAAACGCAGAGGUUUGUCCUCACUGGAAUAGACACUUACUUCUGAUAUGGGUUUGCCUUUCCUGAAUAUAAUGUUUUUGCCAAGAUUACCAUCCAUGGACUCAUGGAAUGCCUUAUCCACUGUCAUGGUAUUCCACACAGCAUUGCCUCUGACCAAAGCACUCACUUCAUGGCUAAAGAAGUGUGGCAGUGGGCUCAUGCUCAUGAAAUUCACUGAUCUUACCAUGUUCCCCAUCAUCUUGAAGCAUCUGGAUUGACAGAACAUUGGAAUAGACUUUUGAAGUCACAAUUACAACACCAACUAGGUGACAAUACUUUGCAGGGCUGGGGCAAAGUUCUCAGAAGGCUGUGUAUGCUCUGAAUCAGUAUCCAAUGUAUGCUACUGUUUCUCCCAUAGCCAGAUUUCACUGGUCCAUGAAUCAAGGAGUUAAAGUGGAAGUGGCACCACUCACCAUCACCCCUAGUGAUCCAUUAGUAAAAUUUUUGUUUCCUGUUCCUGUGACAUUAUGUUCUGCUGGCCUAGAGGGCUUAGUUCCAGAGGGAGGAAUACUGCCACCAUGAGACAUAACAAUGUCUCCAUUAAACUGGAAGUUAAGAUUGCCACCUGGACACUUUGGGCUCCUCCUACCUUUAAGUCAACAGGCCAAGAAGUGAGUCAAUCCUAGGUUGAUUGACCCAGACUGUCAGAAUGAAAUCAGUCUGUUACUCCACAAUGGAGGUAAGGAAGAGUAUGCGUGGAAUACAGGAGAUUCCUUGGGAUGUCUCUUAGUAUUAACAUGUCCUGUGAUUAAGGUCAAUAGGAAACUACAACAGCCCAAUCCAGGCAGGACUGCAAAUGAAACAGACCUAUCAGGAAUGAAAGUUUUGGUAAAAAAAAAAAAAAAAAAAAAAAAAAAAGAAGAAGAAGAAAAAAAACCCCUCAACCUCCUGAGGUGCUUGCUGAAGGCAAAGGGAAUACAGAAUGGGUAGUAGAAGAAGGUAGUCAUCAAUAACAGCUAUGACCAUGUGACUAGUUGCAGAAAUGAGGACUUUAAUUGUCAUGAGUAAUUCUUCCUUUUUUUUUGUGAAGAACAUGUUUGUGUAAGUAUACACUUGUACUAAGAAAAUAUCUUCAUUUUAUUGAUUGUUUCCUUUAUCAUAUGACAUAAGAUUUAUUGACUUCAUAUCAGCAUUUAAGUGUUGUUAGCUUUAUGUAACAGCAUUUGGUUUGGGGAUUGGUGCAUUUCUGGUUCUAUGAAGGAUAGUUGUAUUAUGUUAGGUGUAAUUAUGACCUUAUUAUUGUCUUUAUGUGAAGGUUAUGUAUGAUCUCAGGAGAUGAAUAUAGGUUUAAGUUGACAAGGGGUGGACUUGUGAUGGUUAAUCCUGAGUGUCAAUUUGAUUGUACGAAGGAUGCAAAGCAUCGUUUCUGGGUGUGUCUGUGAUGGUGUUGCCAAAGGAGAUUAACAUUUGAGCCAGUGGACUUGGAGAGGCACACUCACCAUCACUCUAGGUGGGAAUCACCUAAUCAGCUGCCGGUACAGCCAGAAUAAAAAGCAGGCAGAGGAACAUGGAGAGAUUAGAAUGGCUCAGCCUCGCAGCCUACAUCUUUCACCCAUGGUGAAUGCUUCUGGCCCUCAAACAUCAGACUCCAGGUUCUUCGGCUUUGAGACUCAGACUGGCUCCCUUGCUCCUCAGCUUACAGAUGGCCUAUUGUGGGACUCUGUGAUCAUGUGAGUAUGAUACUCCUUAACAAAUUCCCCUUUAUAUAUACAUCUAUCCUAUUAGUUCUGUCCCUCUUCAACCCUGACUAAUCCAGCAUCUAGAAAAGGUCUAUUAUCCAGCAUCUAUAAAUAACUUAAAGAAAAGUACCAGAAAAAAAAAACCCAUUAAAAAGUGGGGAAAGGACAUGAACAGAUACUUCUUAAAAGAACACAUACACGUAGCCAAUAGUCAUAUGAAAAAAAGCCUAACAUCACUGUUGAUUAGAGAAAUGAAAGUCAAAACCACAAUGAGACAGCAUCUCAUGACAUCAUACCAGUUAAAUACUAUUAAAAAGUCAAACAAAAGAAGAGAUGCUGACAAUGUUGUGGAGAAAAAGGAACACUUAUGCACUGUUGGUAGGAGUGUAAACUAGUUCAACUGUUGUGGAGACAGUGUGACAAUUCCUUAAAGAAAAAGACAGAAAUACCAUUCAAUCCAGCAAUCCCAUUGCUGGGCAUAUACCCAAAGGAAUAUAAAUCAUUCCAUCAUAAAGACACAUGAACACGUAUGUUUAUUGAAGCACUAUUCACAAUAGCAAAGACACAGAAUCAACCUAAAUUCUCAUCAAUAAGAGACUGGAAAAAGAAAAUUUGGAACAUACACACUAUGGAAUACUAUGCAGCCAUGAGAGGAAUUAAGUCAUGUCCUUUGCAGGGACAUGGAUGCAGCUGUAGGCCAUUAUCCUUGGCAAACUAAUGCAGGAACAGAAAACCAAAUAUCACAUGUUCUCAGUUAUAAGUGGUAGCUAAAUGAGAACACAUGGACAAAUAGAGGGGGAACAACACACACUGGGGCCUGUCAGAGGGUGAAGAGUGGGAGGAGCAAGAGGAUCAGGAAAAAUAACUAAUGGGCAUUAGGCUUAAUACCUGACUGAUGAAAUAGUCUGUACAACAAACCCUAUAACACAAGUUUACCUGUAUAACAAACCUGCACAUGUACCCCUUAACUUAAAAUAAAAGUUACAUAAAAAAGAACUCACUUCUGUCAUUUCUUUGUUUUUUAUCUUUGUGAUAAUUCAAUUCCUCCA
rnacentral:lncRNA from 10 species